rnacentral:lncRNA from 1 species
CACUAGACUCUCCCCAACCUCCUCAAUCAGAGUGGAUCUGGAAGAGACAAAUCACAAAAAGCUUAACCACCAGAACUCUACACUGAAAAACGCAUAAGGUCGAUUAAUAGCAUCGGAUCGACAUACCUCUUGAUUGGUUGCAUAGUGGAUCUUAGGGAAAAAUUCCUAUGCCACUACAACAUCGACCAGUGUGACCAUGUUUUCAUCAAAACAAUAUUACCAAUUCUUUUGGUUGCAAUGAAACACCGAAAACCUGGCUCGAGUACAUUUGAACAAUAACAUUGUCGGCUAUCUACAUACUUGUAAAAUUACAUACUCAUAUAUCAAGCUUUCAAAGUAUAAGUAUUUUUCAGGUCUGGACAGAUUCAAGCGACUGAAAGAAUAUUAUCCUUUUUAGUUAAAAUUAAAUAGCUUAAUCUUCUAUCAGAUUUACAUGGGCCUUAGGGUAUAGAACAAACUUACAGUUGGAUAGUAAUUCGUGAAAACAGAGUAACCGGUGAUAAUCAAAUCCAUUACUGCAUCAAGGUACUUUUUUCACAUGAUCAUGCCAUAAAGGAAUUCCAGAUUUGCAGAAGAAAGGUAGGAAAUUCCUACAAAGAAGCAAGCAAAACACCCAUAUUCAGAGCAGCUGGGAACGAAUAAAUUCAGAAAUAGAUAAUUAGUAAACAUUGAGAUUGCACGUGUUCUAUUGCUACCUGCCUUCUCUUGUUAAGUAACUCAUUCAAAGACAGAUAGUAGCUCACUGAUUAGUAGGUGGUGGUGUUCUAGAUGCUCGUCCCUUCUCACCUUGGGCUCUCUGAAUAAGUGAUUAUGUAUUACCAAAUCCAAUGAUGGCUAGCUCCAUGAAGAUCACACAUGUACCACUGCAAGCAAGAAAGCCAGUUGUUAGAUCUAUUUAUCCAUAUAAGAUAGGAGUAGGAAUACAUGCAUAUCCUGCUAUAUGUCAUUCAAAAUUUCAUUUUUCGAAUAUGCUAGCCUACUAAUUGCAUUGGGACAAAUUUGUAGAAGAUGCUAAUCAGGGCAUCUCCAAUGCAAGAGUGCUUGUUCUGCGCUUAGGCAAUAAAAAUAAUAAUAACGGAAGUAGCAUCGAUCUAGCAGUCUGCAACAAAUGAUGCAUGUCAAAACGCAAAACAGAUUAACCAAAUGAACUACUUACGUUGGGGAGACAGUGGAGAAGGUUGGGGCGGAAGGAAACUGGCCACCUACACGGACAGAGUCGGUGGACGGAGGAGCAUAGUAGUCGAUCGCGGGCGAGACGUAGACGGGCGCGUCGGCCGACAGGCGGCGGGAGAGCGGCAUGAACUCCUCCGCGGAGGGGUUCAUCACGUCACCCUUGUACUCUGUG